AUUGGUGAUUAUGAUGACUAAACUUUUUUCCCCAUCAUAUCGACAGUGUUGACUAACCAGAAAUUUAAGCCAAAUGGACUGAAUCACCAAU